CAUUUGGACAGGUUGAUAGAGAUCCGAGGCCCCUACACCGUGCGGCAAGGCUGUUGAUUAAUUCUCAGUUGGAAGAUGGUGACUUCCCACAACAGGUAAUUACUCUGAAAAUUACAAGCUAAACUGUUGAAAACAUAAUUAAGUAAAUAAAAGUAUGUUCUCUCUAACAACUUAAGUUUUUAGAUUAGAUGGUCACGCACUUCAAUAUAAAUAAAGGAAAAAAUUCUUCAGCUGUUAAAAGAUCAAGCUGUUAAGUAUUGGAAUGAGAUAGACUCAAAUUGAACAAAACGGACAUAGAUGAUUCAUAUAGUCAACUCAAACUAGUUUAGAAGCUGGUCGUAUUUGAUUGAUAUCGAUUACCUUAUAUAAAGGAACAAGUUGUUUCAGACUGGCAAAACAAUAUCUAAAAGAACAAGGGCAACUCGGUGCAUCAAGCUUUCACUAUGCGCGGGGUUCGGGGAAGGGUCG
rnacentral:lncRNA from 1 species